rnacentral:misc_RNA from 1 species
UCAGUUGGUUAGAGCGCGCGCUUGAUAAGCGUGAGGUCGGAAGUUCAAGUCUUCCCAGGCCCACCACACUCAUCGGGUAAGCAUUCGUCUUCUGGUUACGGGGCCAUAGCUCAGCUGGGAGAGCGCGUGCUUUGCAAGCAUGAGGUCGUCGGUUCGAUCCCGUCUGGCUCCACCAGAUGGUUUGAUCACCGACGCUGUGUUUGCAGCUAUUCAACCGUCGUCCGCGAAACAUCACUUCGCACCUACUAGUCUGGAUAGACAGUAGGUUGCGUGAUUUCUGACAUCGUAAAGAGGAGAUCGAUCCGAGUUGGAUCGGGCAGCAAGCAAUUGCUGCGCGAACCUUCAUUAUCUCCGGAUCAUUUCGGCGCUCGCGCGCCUUUCAAUGCGGCUCACAAGGCUGCGUCUGAGGGGAAUGCGGGUUGUAAAUGAUCCUUUUAGCGAAGCUUGACCGCCUCGCUAUCGGAACGAUCUUACGAAGCAAGCUGGUCUUUCUAAUCAUUGUCCGGCUGUACGUAGCGUUCAUCGAGGGCGCGUGCCGCAAGGCAAUCGUACAGACAACAUUCUGCCGAGUGUGUGGACAUUGAUAAUGAGAGCAAUCAAGUGCCUUAAGGGUGUUCGGUGGAUGCCUUGGCGCUGAGAGGCGAUGAAGGACGUGCUACGCUGCGAUAAGCCGUGGGGAGCUGC